AGCCGACAGUUGCUCGUCUUGCGGCGCGAAGACGAAGGCGAGCACCAGGACGAGGAAGCUCGCUGGUUCCGAGCAGAUGACCCAUUUUUGGCUUUGUCCUCCGGGAGGGGGGAAGGGAGCCGCGCGGAGGAGGGGGGAGGGGGGCGGGGGCUGGCUGCCACACGCCCCCUCUUCUUUUCCACCACUCGAGUGUGUCUUUUGGAUUCCAUUUGGCUUCGUCUAUUCCGAAACGUCAUUUCUAAAAAUGGAACCCUUAUUUCGGACGCAUUCCGAUUUGAGUCAUCAUAUGGGAGCUUUUUUUUUUUUUUUUCUUAUUUGUAUUUUGGUUAUUUUAAUUUGAAUCGGCAUUUCGCUUUGCUUUUUCAUCUCUUGUUGGAAUCAUCGCUUUGGCUUUUAUUCUUUUUUUCGUCAAUCGGUUAGAAAUUCAGAUUUCACAUGGUCUCGUUUGUAUUUCCCUUAACCUACGUUCAUCAUGAUUUGAUUCCGAUUUCGGAGCUCUUGUUUCAGGCAUUCUUUUUGUUUCUUUUUCCAGCUAUUUUGAUGAGGAUCAUUUUUGUUUGAAACGCACCUAUACCGUUCAAGUAAAACAAUGCACCUCCUCAUCGGAACUUGCAAGGGACGAAAUGACUCCCGAGUGCAAAAACAACGCCGUCGCCGAUGGCGCAGCGUGCGCGCGGAGCGAGGGAUCGGCUCCCGCUCGGUGACGGUGUGGCUGCGAAUGGCUGUGCGUCUCUCCUUGCGCCCCGCGACCGACCGGCGAGCAGUUCAGGGUGUGAAGCCCCUUUGGCCCCAAGUCAGCUGGGAAAAGCUCCGGCGGCCCCCGCGACUCUUUUCAGCGCUGUGGAAAAUGAACACAUUGCAGAAUAAAGAGCCGAAUGCAAAUUAAAUAUCGAAAUAUAAAAUUGAUUUAAUGCACGCAAUGUUUUUUUUUUUUUGGAAACACUACGUGGCACAGUACAGAAGACAUGCAUGCACUUUUUCAUUGGCGCUUAUUCAGGUUGAGGCAAA